GCGCAUGUCUGCAUUACUUCCCUUGUCACUUGUGUACAAUAAUCAAUGCUCACAGUUUCAAAGAGGAAACGUUUAUUUUGUCAUACAGUUCAGGUCAUAGGGUGGCAUGGCAGCAGUGCAUGGCAGAGGAGAAACAGCUCAUGCCUGGCUCUGGAAAGCAGAGAGACAUUAACAGAAGGAAGAGAGACAGAGCCUUCUAGGCCACACCCUCAGUGAUCUACCUCCUCUAACCUGGCUUCACUUCCAAUCAUCACAAUGAGCUACAGACUCUGAGCCAAUCCACUGAUGAGUAUCAGGCUCCCCUGAUUCAGUCACCUCCAAAAAGCCCCACCUGUGAUCACAGUAAGCUUUGAAGGGACAUCUACUAAGAAAAAAUACAGUCAUCAACAUAGGGGAUUCAUACAACUGUCACAUCUAAUCCUGCUUCCAUAGCAAUACUGCUCUGUGAUUUCCCAGUUUCCACUGGGCUCCAGUCUAAACAGUUGGCAUUUCAUACACCAAUCACAGGAGUAGGUACAGAUCUGGACCCUAAGAGAUGGCCUUAUAUCCUUCAGUACCCGUGCCAAUUUAGCACAGACUCGGAGAAAUUUCUCAGGGUGCACAAACUCUGCUGGAAUCUUGGACUUAUAGCUCUCCAAGGGGGCAGGAUACAGCCCAUGGGUUAACUGGCUCAGUCCCCCACACACAUACAACAGGACCUGAAGGAUGCCCAGGGAUAUGUGGUUCCCAUAGCAACUGAAGGUCUUGAGCUGGGAGCAGCAGCUCAGGGGAGGCAAGAUAGCAAGCAGCUGGGCGUCUGUGAUGUCACAGUGCUCUAGGACCAGGGUCUCCAGGGUGCUGGCCAGUUUGUCUAGCAGAGCCUGGAGGGUCUCUGGGUUGAAUGAUUUCAUUGAGAACUUCCUCAGACUCAGGGACUUCAGCUGGCUCAUGCUUGGACAGUGGGCCAGAUGCUUUAGGUCAGAUUCCUUCAGUGGACUUGAACUGAAGGAGAGGGCCUCCAAGGAGGUCUGGUUCCUAGAGAGAGAGAGAAAACUUAAUUGUGUCACCACAUUGCCAGUGGCUUGGCACACAGAUGCCCUCUUCAUAUUCACCGUUCCCAGGAAUGUGCAGGUGAGCUCAACAUACACUCACCUGAAAAUCUUAUGCAGAGUUCCAUGUAGGAAAAGGACAUCAUGUAUAUGAAGCUCCCGGAGAUUUUGCAGCUCUCCUAAGUGAAAAGCAUAGAUGCAGGAAAGCCACUUAUUUUCCAAGGGCAAAGUAAACACUUCUGGGCUCAGGCUGCUGAAGUGAAAUGUGCGAAGGUUCGUCAUCUUCUUGAGCUGAGGAAGAAAUGCUUUCAUGCAUUUCCAACCCCAUACACUGAACACGUCCAGCUCCUGGAUAGAGUCCAGUUGCACAGCACGAAGGAGCUUCAGAAUUGUAGAGACAUCAUUUGACUUGAUCAUCACCUUCUCACAGCACAGGUGUACUGAAGCUUUUCUCUUCCUGGCCCAAGUCAAGAGGCAAAAUUCUAAUUCAUUAUGGGUGGCCCAAGACGAACUCCAGGCUUGAAAACAAAGGUGUGUGAAUAUUCUCAAGGUCGGCUUCUUCUUCCUCAACCCAGGCUUGCCUGUCUCCUUAUUGCUGGCAUCUUCUGAAUGGGCAGAACUCAUGGCUCUGGGCCCUACAGUCCAGAAGUCCCGGUGUACAUCCCUCCAAUCCAGCACCUGCAGUCUCCACCUGCUGUGAGUGAAACAGGAAGCGGUCUGAGAAUUAAGAUAAAGAACCAAUUUCUUACCUGUGCUUCUCUUCCACUUUCUUGGCAUCAGCUGAACUCCUACUUUUCCUGCCUUCCUUUUCUACCCUUCUCACCUUUCUAUGCAGCUUGAUUCAACUUCUAGUUCCUGCGAGAGGAGGCAGAUGCAGGUUCCUCCUGAUUUCACUGCAUCCUCACAUCCACCUUUCUCAUCAGGAAAUCCCUUCCCAGGUGGCUUUCAGCAAAACCAAGACCUCUGUGAUCUUCCUCAACAUGAGCAGCUGCUCCAAGCUUCAGUCCCCCACACUCCUUAUUACCAACUCUCUCUCUCCUGGCCUCCCAGAACCCUCUCUCCAGUAUCGUGUAUCCCCCUCACCUGUGGUGAACCUUCUGGGACAGCUGAAUGUCAAAUCCAUCCAGUAGGGCUUACAAGGUCCAUAGGUUUCUCUGUUGCAGUGUGAUUUCUCCAAACUGAGGGUGUGGGGUCUUUGGUUUCCUCAGAGUCAUCAGGGUCCUCAAAGGGAGGCAGAGGAAAGGCCAGGCCUG
rnacentral:lncRNA from 1 species